AGUAUUUCAGAAUUUCACACAUCCUGUUGUGCAGCCUAUCUUAGACAGGAGGUAUUUUCUUCAAAAGAAUACAGUGGGGACAACAGAAGAAAGAAUAUGCAAAUCAGCUGAACCACUUUGUUUCUCAUCAUGUGAAGAAGAGGAGGAAGGUCUUGAUGACACCAAAAAUAAGCAGCCACAGGAGUGUUC